GCCACCAUGUGGGUGCUGGAAAUGAAUUGAUCCUCUUUCUCCAAGGGCAGCAAGUACUCUCCACCUCUGAGCCAUGGCUCCACCCCCACUUUCAUAUUUUUGUUUAGGAAUAGAAUAGUUCUUGAAAAACAGAGUUCACAAUUAUUGUUAGCUCAGGGGUCUAGUUAGUGUCAGCCUCAGGAGAUCAGGCCAAGUUCCUCUAGGUGGACAGCCCCCUGCUGUGGUGGUGGGAAACACAGUCUGGGAGCUGGGGGACAAAGUGAAGAGGAAGGCAAUCUAACCAGGCCUCCCUGGAAUCCCUGGGCCCUAUCUGGGCCAUCCAGUGCACACCUAAAGUGCCCCUCCUCCACAGCUACCCAGGACCCUUAAACAGACUGAAGAGCCCACCCUGCUUAGGGGAGAGCCAGAGGUGUCCGCGUCCUCUGCUGCCCCUGAUUUUGAGUUGUGGCUCGGCCCUCCAGGUGCCUGCAAGUCACAUACUCCUCCUGUGAAAAGCUCCAAGGAAAAUUUCACAGAAUCAUCGACUCUGUUAAGCGUCUCUGGUGCCGGGCAGGGAUCAUCUUCAUCAUCUUUAUGGUUGUUGUAGCUGCAGUUGUGUUGCCCUUAGUUUUUUCACUGUCAGGUGAG